UACGUAGGUGGCAAGCGUUGUCCGGAUUUACUGGGCGUAAAGCGUGCGCAGGCGGCUUUGCAAGACAGAUGUGAAAUCCCCGGGCUUAACCUGGGAACUGCAUUUGUGACUGCAUGGCUAGAGUGCGGCAGAGGGGGAUGGAAUUCCGCGUGUAGCAGUGAAAUGCGUAGAUAUGCGGAGGAACACCGAUGGCGAAGGCAAUCCCCUGGGCCUGCACUGACGCUCAUGCACGAGAGCGUGGGGAGCAAACAGG
rnacentral:rRNA from 1 species